rnacentral:rRNA from 1 species
CUGAUGGAGGGGGAUAACUACUGGAAACGGUAGCUAAUACCGCAUAACGUCGCAAGACCAAAGAGGGGGACCUUCGGGCCUCUUGCCAUCACAUGUGCCCAGAUGGGAUUAGCUAGUAAGUGGGGUAACGGCUCACCUAGGCGACGAUCCCUAGCUGGUCUGAGAGGAUGACCAGCCACACUGGAACUGAGACACGGUCCAGACUCCUACGGGAGGCAGCAAUGGGGAAUAUUGCACAAUGGGCGCAAGCCUGAUGCACCCAUGCCGCGUGUAUGAAGAAGGCCUUCGGGUUGUAAAGUACUUUCAGCGGGGAGGAAGGUGUUGAGGUUAAUAACCUCAGCAAUUGACGUUACCCGCAGAACAAGCACCGGCUAACUCCGUGCCAGCAGCCGCGGUAAUACGGAGGGUGCAAGCGUUAAUCGCAAUUACUGGGCGUAAAGCGCACGCAGGCGGUCUGUCAAGUCGGAUGUGAAAUCCCCGGGCUCAACCUGGGAACUGCAUUCGAAACUGGCAGGCUAGAGUCUUGUAGAGGGGGGUAGAAUUCCAGGUGUAACGGUGAAAUGCGUAGAGAUCUGGAGGAAUACCGAUGGCGAACGCGGCCCCCUGGACAAAGACUGACGCUCAAGUGCGAAAGCGUGAGGAGCAAACAGGAUUAGAUACCCUGGUAGUCCACGCCGUAGACGAUGUCUACUUGGAGGUUGUGCCCUUGAGGCGUGACUUCCGGAGCUAACGCGUUAAGUCUACCGCCUGGGGAGUACAGCCGCAAGGUUAAAACUCAUAUGAAUUGACCGGAGCCCGCACAAGCGAUGGAGCAUGUGUCUUAAUUCGAUGCAACACGAAUAACCUUACCUACUCUUGACAUCCAUAGAACUUUUCCAGAGAUGGAUUGGUGCCUUCGGCGAACUCUGAGACAGGUGCUGCAUGGCCUGUCUUCAGCUCGUGUUGUGAAA